rnacentral:rRNA from 1 species
GAUGAACGCUGGCGGCGUGCCUAACACAUGCAAGUCGAGCGAACAGACGAGGAGCUUGCUCCUCUGACGUUAGCGGCGGACGGGUGAGUAACACGUGGAUAACCUACCUAUAAGACUGGGAUAACUUCGGGAAACCGGAGCUAAUACCGGAUAAUAUAUUGAACCGCAUGGUUCAAUAGUGAAAGACGGUUUUGCUGUCACUUAUAGAUGGAUCCGCGCCGCAUUAGCUAGUUGGUAAGGUAACGGCUUACCAAGGCAACGAUGCGUAGCCGACCUGAGAGGGUGAUCGGCCACACUGGAACUGAGACACGGUCCAGACUCCUACGGGAGGCAGCAGUAGGGAAUCUUCCGCAAUGGGCGAAAGCCUGACGGGGCAACGCCGCGUGAGUGAUGAAGGUCUUCGGAUCGUAAAACUCUGUUAUUAGGGAAGAACAAAUGUGUAAGUAACUAUGCACGUCUUGACGGUACCUAAUCAGAAAGCCACGGCUAACUACGUG